rnacentral:rRNA from 1 species
UACGAAGGGAGCGAGCGUUGUUCGGAAUCACUGGGCGUAAAGCGUGCGUAGGCGGUUUCGUAAGUAAGAAGUGAAAGCCUGGGGCUCAACCUCAGAAUUGCUUCUUAGACUGCAAAACUAGAGUACUGGAGAGGUUAGUGGAAUUCCCGGUGUAGUGGUGAAAUGCGUAGAUAUCGGGAGGAACACCAGUGGCGAAGGCGACUUCCUGGCCUGUUCUUGACGCUGAGGCGCGAAAGCUAGGGUAGCAAACGGG